CCCGACUGCUAUUUGGGUGAGGAUAAGCCAUGCGAGUUGAAUGGGAUACCUAAAUUUCCCAUGGCAAACUGCUCAGUAACACAUGAUCGACUUACCCUAUAGAGAAAAAUAACCUCGGGAAACUGAGGAUAAUAUUUCAUAGUUGAAUAGGCUUGGAAAAGUUUUUCAAUAAAAGGGAUAAAAAAAUGGUUUUUAUCUGCUAUAGGAUAGGAUCGUGGACGAUUAUGGUUGUUGGUGAGGUAACGGCUCACCAAGCCGAUAAUCGAUAGGGGCCGUGAGAGCGGGAGCCCCGAGAUGGGUACUGAGACAACGACCCAGGCCUUACGAGGCGCAGCAGGCGCGGAACCUCCGCAAUACACGAAAGUGUGACGGGGUUACCCAAAGUGUUCAAUUCUGAACUGUGGUAGGUGAGUAAUGUUCCCUACUAGAAAGGAGAGGGCAAGGCUGGUGCCAGCCGCCGCGGUAAAACCAGCUCUUCAAGUGGUCGGGAUAAUAUUGGGCUUAAAGUGUCCGUAGCCGGUUUAGUAAGUUCCUGGUAAAAUCGGGUAGCUCAACUAUCUGCAUGCUAGGAAUACCGCUAUACUAGAGGGCGGGAGAGGUCUGAGGUACUACAGGGGUAGGGGUGAAAUCUUAUAAUCCUUGUAGGACCACCAGUGGCGAGGGCGUCAGACUGGAACGCGCCUGACGGUGAGGGACGAAAGCCAGGGGAGCGAACCGGAUUAGAUACCCGGGUAGUCCUGGCCGUAAACGAUGCAUACUAGGUGAUGGUAUGGCCAUGAGCCGUAUCAGUGCCGUAGGGAAACCGUUAAGUGUGCCGCCUGGGAAGUACGGUCGCAAGGCUAAAACUUAAAGGAAUUGGCGGGGGGGCACCACAAGGGGUGAAGCCUGCGGUUCA
rnacentral:rRNA from 1 species